rnacentral:rRNA from 1 species
GACGAACGCUGGCGGCGUGCCUAAUACAUGCAAGUAGAACGCUGAAGGAGGAGCUUGCUUCUCUGGAUGAGUUGCGAACGGGUGAGUAACGCGUAGGUAACCUGCCUGGUAGCGGGGGAUAUCUAUUGGAAACGAUAGCUAAUACCGCAUAAGAGUAGAUGUCGCAUGACAUUUGCUUAAAAGGUGCAAUUGCAUCACUACCAGAUGGACCUGCGUUGUAUUAGCUAGUUGGUGAGGUAACGGCUCACCAAGGCAACGAUACAUAGCCGACCUGAGAGGGGGAUCGGCCACACUGGGACUGAGACACGGCCCAGACUCCUACGGGAGGCAGCAGUAGGGAAUCUUCGGCAAUGGACGGAAGUCUGACCGAGCAACGCCGCGUGAGUGAAGAAGGUUUUCGGAUCGUAAAGCUCUGUUGUAAGAGAAGAACGAGUGUGAGAGUGGAAAGUUCACACUGUGACGGUAUCUUACCAGAAAGGGACGGCUAACUACGUG